ensembl:lncRNA LINC02292 long intergenic non-protein coding RNA 2292
ACACACGUGUGGCGCCCCACCCCCUGGGCAACUGUAAACCUGGCCGCGGCUGGCCGCCCUGGGGCUUGGGGGCGGGUAUCCAACCCCAGCCUCCCACCUCGAGCCAACUUUAAUGGAGGACCUAGCAAGUGCCAGGCAGCAUUCUGAGCCCUGGAAUCCGGUGAUGAACAUGACAGACAAGAUUCCUGCCCCCAAGGAGCUGCACCUUAAUAAGUCCCGCAAUGAAGGAGACAGAACAUAAACAGAGGAAAAUACACAAGAUGCCAGCUUGUGAGAAGUGCUAGCAAAAAAAGACACAACUCAUUUCACCAAUGAAAAGGCACUGGCAACAUCUCCUAUGCAGAUUAGCCGCAGCCUCCGGUGCCGAUUUAGCAAAGCCAUGAUUGACCAGAUCCGAGGCUCGCUGCCCUGUGGAGCUGCUUCCUAAUUAUGUUACUUCAAGCACCCAUCCCCAGGGUGCAGGUUAAAGUUAACCAGCACACUAAUGUACAUCAAGCAGUGUAGGCGGAGGCGCAGUUCUGAAGACAGUCACCAAUACGCGGCAAAUACCUAUUGUGAGAUCCAUCACCUGCUGGAUGGGCCUGCUCCCUCUACCACUCCCCUCCCACCUGCGCCUGGGUUGGGGAACUGGCCCCUUGCUAACUAGUCUAAUCCCCUUCAGUUGGUCACAAGCCCUGUGGAGUAGUUACUGGCACCCACUAUGUACCAGCCACUGUGCUGGGCACGGAUGGACACACAUCAGCCCCUGCCCGCAUGGUGGAACAGGGAUAUGGGAGAGAAAGACAACAAACAACUCGGUGUACAAAUAGUCAACUACAGUGGAAAAGCAAAGAUUAAAUCCUCAUACCUCUCUGGAAAAGUGGAGGGGACCACAUUCCAGCAUCUGGUGCCUUGUUUGCCCCAAACAUGACUUCAAGUGAAUCGACAUAAUACUCUUCCAGAGGGAAAGCAGAACCAUCUGCAGGGCUGAGGGACCAAGAAACACAGUGAGGAAUUCCACAGGAGGCCCACGCGGAGGGAUGUGACACCCCAGGUGGACUCUAGGGGACGCUCACUUGGAACUUGCAUCACCCGGAACUGUGUCUGCCACUGUGACUUCAGAGCAGCACAGACCUGAGGUGGAUCCAGCAAUGCCCACAACUGUCCAACAAUUUCACUUUUCCGAGGCUCAGUUUCCAUGUGGAAAAUGGACUGGCUCUGAGUAUUAAAUGAGGAUGAAUGUCCAUAUGCCUCACCCCUUUCUUCAUGAAAGGAAGACACCUCUGGGACUCAGACAAAUGGCCAAUAACAUCUAGUCUUUAUUCAGUCCUAACUGCAUGACAAUACAACUAGCGUAACAGUCAUCAACAUAAGGAAUGCUCUCAAUAUUGCUCGAUGCCCUGUGUGCUAUCACUAAUAGCAACAACUGCUGUUCAUCUAUGCCACGAUAUGCACCAAAUCUACACCACUCCUUUAAGGUGUCACUGUCUCCAUUCCACAGAUGAGAAAACAGCCUCCAGAAGAGGAAAGUGUAGAUGAGUUAAUUUUUCCCUGCCCAACGUUGAUUCCCAUUCCUUCUGAUCAUGGUGCCCUGACUUCUUUGGGAGAACUCCCUCUUCUCUGUGACGGGCUGACUGGUGGGAUUAUCAGUCAAGGUGCCCACCUCCUCUAGCUCUCCCCAUCUCUCUCAGUCUCUGGAGUUUCUGUUUCAAGCAUAAGGACAGAAGAUUAGAAAUGGCUGAAGCUGAUUUGCCCCAGGAGGAGGGUGGGGUCGUGUCCUGAGGAGACGCUCUUGUGGGACCCUGCUUCUUGGACUCCUUGGAUCCCAGCCCCACCCCACCCCCAGACAGCCUUAUUCUGCCUUCAGAGUCUGGUCCUUUGCUUUCCUUUAAAUUCUGAGACCCUCUUGGGUCUGCCCUUUCCCAUGUAGGUUACAGCCAGAUUGGUUUCUGUUGCUUGCAUCCCUCAAACUCUGCCUGACACAGGAAGUGACUCCUCCAGGUCAUCCAGCCCAUGAGUGGCAUAGUCAGAGGAAGCCCUCCGUCACCAGGCUCUCAAGCCAGUGCUCUCUCCAUCAUGCCACAUGGCUGGCCUUGGGGUGGUCCUGCCAUAGGGAGAGCUUUCUGAGAUGGGUCAGGGGGCAGAUUAUCAUCAAAGACCUGGUGAUGGAAAGACACAUGGCAUGGCCUCAUGGUCAUGGAGCCUGCAUGGAGGCCAACAUGCUGGAGGAGAGCUUUGAAGGCAUCCACGGAAGCAGAUGACAGGAGCCUGAAAGCCAUGUGUGGCCACACACCUGCUUCUGACAUAAUUAAUGA